rnacentral:rRNA from 1 species
AACCUGCCCCAUAGUCUGGGAUACCACUUGGAAACAGGUGCUAAUACCGGAUAAGAAAGCAGAUCGCAUGAUCAGCUUUUAAAAGGCGGCGUAAGCUGUCGCUAUGGGAUGGCCCCGCGGUGCAUUAGCUAGUUGGUAAGGUAAAGGCUUACCAAGGCGAUGAUGCAUAGCCGAGUUGAGAGACUGAUCGGCCACAUUGGGACUGAGGCACGGCCCAA